GACGGGGGGGGCAAGUGUUCUUCGGAAUGACUGGGCGUAAAGGGCGCGUAGGCGGUGAAUCGGGUUGAAAGUGAAAGUCGCCAAAAAGUGGCGGAAUGCUCUCGAAACCAAUUCACUUGAGUGAGACAGAGGAGAGUGGAAUUUCGUGUGUAGGGGUGAAAUCCGUAGAUCUACGAAGGAACGCCAAAAGCGAAGGCAGCUCUCUGGGUCACUACCGACGCUGGGGUGCGAAAGCAUGGGGAGCGAACAGG
rnacentral:rRNA from 1 species